rnacentral:misc_RNA from 1 species
CGUCCCUGAUAAAACCAUAUCUAACCUGGCAAAAUUCUUCAAACAGAAGAUUGAUAGACAUGACAUUAUAAAAAGUAUUCUUCGGUCAUUUUUAUCGACUUCAUAUUAUCAUGUCCCAUCUCCAGUAUAAACCAGUAUACCUCAUUCCACUUGGUUUUUAUCCUGUGUUGAACCUUGCUAAAUUGAUUAUAACUUCAGUUUGAACCCCACUGAUAAGAAAUCAUCCAUUUUCUUGGUAUUUGUCUUCCUCUUCUCCAUCUCCAGUGCUUGCUUCUUCUCCACCUCCUCAGUACCAUCAUCGAGUGGAACAAGGCUUCCCACGUACAUUUCUGCACCAAAAGACUUCGGACCGCCCCUAAUCUUCAAAGUCCUAACAGUUCUCCUAUUCCAAUCAUACCAUACAAGCUUUUGAUCAUUCACUUCUAAUAGCAUCUUAUCCCCAUCUUUUGAAUAAGCCAAAGGCCUCAAAAACAUAAAAGCACUAAUGGAUUUAGUUGUUCGAAAUGAAAACAGCUUAAUCCAGGAUUCCUUAAUUCCAUACUCCCGCAUAACCCACAAAUCAACACAAAUAUGUUCAUAAUUACACAUCACACACAACCUCCCCUCCAAGACCCCAACAUCAACCUGAAAGUUUAACCUGUUAUUGGCAUAUUCAGGCUGGGGCACUUCACGGAACAUCUCAGACACAAUAUCAAAAGCAAUAAUAGAACUUUUCACACCCAAUUCCGGCCAGUGAGGCAAAAUCCAAUGCAAAGCAUUAGAAGCAAAAACUCCAUAUCCUCUCCUAUGCAAAACCUGGAAAAAUGGUUUAUGCAAGAACCUAAGAUAUUUAGGCAAGCCCUUUAUUCUCUUCCACGACUCACUUUUCAGACUAUAAAUCUUCACCUCAUAAUCGUAAUCGAAAGACUCACACCUAUCAUCAUCCCCAACAAAAGUAACCAUUCUAACUAGUUUAUAGUCUUCAUUAAUCGAAUCAUAACCAAAGCCAUAAAACACAUACCCAGUUUUCAAAUACCUAUCGGGCGGCU